rnacentral:lncRNA from 1 species
UGUUUAUUGUCUGUCUCCCUUACAGCCUGUGAGCUCCACAAAACUGAGAUUUUGGCUUGUUCUCUGCUGUAUCCUCAGAGCUGGUGGGAGAAAUUGAUGAAUGUUUCUUGCAGGAAUCUCAAGUCAAUGGCAUCUCUUCUACAGGAGAUAAUGUGGCCCAUUCCCACCAUCUUGGUGUCUGAGAUGAGCACCGCCAUCUGUAUCCCCAAAGCCCCCAUCUCUCCACCACAAGCAAUUGCUGUUUAAAUCUCUGCCAUCGAAAAAGUAGCAGGACUCACAGUGUCGUGGAUGAUAUAAAUAGAAUUCCUAUAGGAAAAGAUAUUUGGCAAAAAAAUUUGCUAUUUGAGAUACCUCUAUCCUUAAAUCCAUUGUUGGAACAAAGGAUAGGGGAGCCUCACUUCCAAAGCUUGUGUAGUGAUGGGUGACAAUAAGUCUCCUCUGAUUUGUGGUGUGUUAGCUUGAGGUUGGUUGGUUUUAUAAAUCGAAUGAAAGCAAGGUACCCAAAGUGCACCAAUUACUCUAAGAAGGUUUCAUUUCUUGGAAGCUGACUGAUGUAGAAACAAGUGGGUCCUGAAGGAUUGGGAUUCACUUGGCAGAAGUUGUCCUCCCACUCAAGCCCUUGACCCCAGGGAAACACAUCCAGAAUUCCUGAGAUUGCAGGGACCCAGCUACUGGAUGAAAUUGUGUCCAGAAACUGGGAAGUGGGACCAGCCAUUGUGCAGACGAGCCUUAAAUGAGUGGUCUGGGCUGAAGGCGGGAGAUCCAGGAAGGAGAAGAGGAUUCCUUGCUGUCUCUAUCAAGGUGAUGACGUUUUUUCUCACCCCGUGAGCUACUCUGCUUCAGUCUUCCCCUCUUCUGUUUCACGCUGACAUUUACACCUGCUGUCAAACCAAACUGAGGCCCAGAAUGGAAGCUGAUGACCAAAAGC